GUGGGUGUGGCUCGGCGGUAGAGUGUGUGCUUAGCACGCACUAGGUCCUGGGUUCAGUCCCCAGUUCCUCCA
rnacentral:tRNA from 1 species